AUUGAACGCUGGCGGCAGGCCUAACACAUGCAAGUCGAACGCCGUAGCAAUACGGAGUGGCAGACGGGUGAGCAACGCGUGGGAACCUUCCCUAUGGUUCGGAAUAGCUCAGGGAAACCUGGGGUAAUACCGGAUAAGCCCUUCGGGGGAAAGAUUUAUCGCCAUUGGAUGGGCCCGCGUAGGAUUAGCUAGUUGGUGAGGUAACGACUCACCAAGGCGGGGAUCCUUAGCUGGUCUGAGAGGAUGAUCAUCCACAAUGGGACUUAGAAACCGCCUCGCCUCCUACGAGAGGCAGCAGUAGGGAAUAUUGGACAAUGGGCGAAUGCCUAAUCCAGCCAUGCCGCGUGAGUGACGAAGGCCUUAGGGUUGUACAGCUCUUUUAGCGGGGAAGAUAAUGACGGUACCCGCAGAAUAAGCUCCGGCUAACUUCGUGCCAGCCGCCGCAGUAAAAC
rnacentral:rRNA from 1 species